GUUCUAUUUUGUUGGUUUCUAGGACCGCCGUAAUGAUUAAUAGGGAUAGUCGGGGGCGUCAGUAUUCAGCUGUCAGAGGUGAAAUUCUUGGAUUUGCUGAAGACUAACUACUGCGAAAGCAUUCGCCAAGGAUGUUUUCAUUAAUCAGGGAACGAAAGUUAGGGGAUCGAAGACGAUCAGAUACCGUCGUAGUCUUAACCAUAAACUAUGCCGACUAGGGAUCGGGCGGUGUUUCUAUAAUGACCCGUUCGGCACCUUACGAGAAAUCAAAGUUUUUGGGUUCUGGGGGGAGUAUGGUCGCAAGGCUGAAACUUAAAGAAAUUGACGGAAGGGCACCACCAGGCGUGGAGCCUGCGGCUUAAUUGACUCAACACCGGGAAACUCCCCACGCCCCC
rnacentral:rRNA from 1 species